GUCGACCGCGCGACUGCGGAAGAGAAAUCUUACGAGGAAAGUCCGAGCUUCAUAGAGCAGGGUGACGGAUAACGUCCGCCGAAGGUGACUUCCGGGAAAGUGCAACAGAAAAAAACCGCCUUGAAAAAGGUAAGGAUGAAAAGGCGAGGUAAAAGCUCACCGGGGAGGAGGUAACUUCUCCCGCCGUGUAAACCCCACCCGAAGCAAGAUAGGGCGAUAUCGAAUGCGGUUGCUCGCCGCGGUAUCGCCGUUUACGUCGCUUGAGUCCGUCGGUAACGGCGGAAGUAGAUAGAUAGUCGCGCAAGACAGAACUCGGCUUAUAGAUCGGCUCGU
rnacentral:RNase_P_RNA from 1 species